GGUCAGACUUAAUGAGAAGUAGGGUGCAGCCUCUACCAGGUUUUCCUCCAAGAUUGCGCUGUAUUUAGUUCCAUCCAUCUUCCAAUCAACUCUGACCAGCUUCCCUGUUCCUGCUGAAGAAAAG